AUCGCUUCUCGGCCUUUUGGCUAAGAUCAAGUGUGAACAUGGAGAUGCAUGUAUCUUUUUCAUUUAGCGUUCUUGUUUCUUUUGGGUAAAUAUCCAGAAGUGGAAUUGCUGGAUCAUCUGGUAGUUCUACUUUUA
rnacentral:snRNA from 1 species